AUACGUAGGUGACAAGCGUUAUCCGGAUUUACUGGGCGUAAAGGGCGUGUAGGCGGUCUUGCAAGUCAGAAGUGAAAUUCCUGAGCUCAACUCGGGCGCUGCUUCUGAAACUGCAGGACUUGAGUGCUGGAGGGGAUAGCGGAAUUCCUAGUGGAGCGGUAAAAUGCGCAGAUAUUAGGAAGAACACCGGUGGCGAAGGCGGCCAUCUGGACAGUAACUGACGCUGAGGCGCGAAAGCGUGGGGAGCAAACAGGAUUAGAUACCCUGGUAGUCCACGCUGUAAACGAUGAUUACUAGGUGUGGGGGGACUGACCCCUUCCGUGCCGCAGUUAACACAAUAAGUAAUCCACCUGGGGAGUACGGCCGCAAGGUUGAAACUCAAAUGAAUUGGCGGGG
rnacentral:rRNA from 1 species